rnacentral:rRNA from 1 species
CUAAUACCGCAUAACGUCGCAAGACCAAAGAGGGGGACCUUCGGGCCUCUUGCCAUCGGAUGUGCCCAGAUGGGAUUAGCUAGUAGGUGGGGUAACGGCUCACCUAGGCGACGAUCCCUAGCUGGUCUGAGAGGAUGACCAGCCACACUGGAACUGAGACACGGUCCAGACUCCUACGGGAGGCAGCAGUGGGGAAUAUUGCACAAUGGGCGCAAGCCUGAUGCAGCCAUGC